GACGAACGCUGGCGGCGUGCCUAAUACAUGCAAGUCGAACGAGAGCGACCGGUGCUUGCACUGGCCAAUCUAGUGGCGAACGGGUGAGUAACACGUGGGUAACCUGCCCAUCAGAGGGGGAUAACAUCCGGAAACGGAUGCUAAAACCGCAUAGGUCUUCGAACCGCAUGGUUUGAAGAGGAAAAGAGGCGCAAGCUUCUGCUGAUGGAUGGACCCGCGGUGCAUUAGCUAGUUGGUGAGGUAACGGCUCACCAAGGCCGUGAUGCAUAGCCGACCUGAGAGGGUGAUCGGCCACAUUGGGACUGAGACACGGCCCAAACUCCUACGGGAGGCAGCAGUAGGGAAUCUUCCGCAAUGGACGCAAGUCUGACGGAGCAACGCCGCGUGAGUGAAGAAGGUUUUCGGAUCGUAAAACUCUGUUGUUAGAGAAGAACAAGUGCUAGAGUAACCGUUAGCGCCUUGACGGUAUCUAACCAGAAAGCCACGGCUAACUACGUG
rnacentral:rRNA from 1 species